CAAUAGCGUAUAUUAAAGUUGUUGCAGUUAAAAAGCUCGUAGUUGGAUUUGUGGCGUGCGGUGUGUUCCGGGCACUUGUUGUCUGAGUAACCUGCCGCUGCCAUCCUUGGGUGGAACCUGUGUGGCAUUAGGUUGUCGUGCAGGGGAUGCCCAUCGUUUACUGUGAAAAAAUUAGAGUGUUCAAAGCAGGCUUAUGCCGUUGAAUAUAUUAGCAUGGAAUAAUGAGAUAGGACUUUUUUGCUAUUUUGUUGGUUUGCGCAAAGAGGUAAUGAUUAAUAGGGACAGUUGGGGGUAUUCGUAUUCCAUUGUCAGAGGUGAAAUUCUUGGAUUUUUGGAAGACGAACUACUGCGAAAGCAUUUACCAAGGAUGUUUUCAUUAA
rnacentral:rRNA from 1 species